CCGCCCAUUGCUACUACUGAUUGGAUGGUUUAGUGAGGUCUUCGGAUUGGCCACGGCCCUGGUGCAGCACCAAGAAGACAAUCAAACUUUACUAUCUAGAGGAAGUAAAAGUUGUAACAAGGUUUAUGUAGGUGAACCAAG
rnacentral:ncRNA from 1 species